UGUUUUGCCAUAGGGUCUUGUUGAUCUCA
rnacentral:piRNA from 1 species